rnacentral:rRNA from 1 species
CACCGGCGGCCCGAGUGGUAACCGCUAUUAUUGGGUUUAAAGGGUUCGUAGCCGGCCUAUUAAGUCUCUUGGGAAAUCUGGCGGCUUAACCGUCAGGAGGCCAAGAGAUACUGGUAGGCUUGGGACCGGAAGAGGUGGGAGGUACUCCAGGGGUAGGGGUGAAAUCUCGUAAUCCUUGGAGGACCACCGAAGGCGAAGGCAUCCCACCAGGACGGGUCCGACGGUGAGGGACGAAAGCUGGGGGC